UACGUAGGGUGCGAGCGUUGUCCGGAAUUAUUGGGCGUAAAGAGCUCGUAGGCGGUGUGUCGCGUCGGCCGUGAAACCUGCAGCUUAACUAUGGGCGUGCGGUCGAUACGGGCAUCACUGGAGUUCGGCAGGGGAGACUUGGAAUUCCUGGUGUAGCGGUGAAAUGCGCAGAUAUCAGGAGGGAACACCGGUGGCGAAGGCGGGGUCUCUGGGCCGUAAACUGACGCUGAGGAGCGAAAGCAUGGGAAGCGAACAGG
rnacentral:rRNA from 1 species